rnacentral:rRNA from 1 species
AACGCGAAGAACCUUACCAAGGCUUGACAUAUACCGGAAACGGCGAGAGAUCGUCGCCCCGCAAGGUCGGUAUACAGGUGGUGCAUGGUUGUCGUCAGCUCGUGUCGUGAGAUGUUGGGUUAAGUCCCGCAACGAGCGCAACCCUCGUUCUAUGUUGCCAGCACGUAAUGGUGGGAACUCAUGGGAUACUGCCGGGGUCAACUCGGAGGAAGGUGGGGACGACGUCAAAUCAUCAUGCCCCUUAUGUCUUGGGCUUCACGCAUGCUACAAUGGCCAGUACAAAGGGCUGCAAUACCGUAAGGUGGAGCGAAUCCCAAAAAGCUGGUCCCAGUUCGGAUUGAGGUCUGCAACUCGACCUCAUGAAGUCGGAGUCGCUAGUAAUCGCAGAUCAGCAACGCUGCGGUGAAUACGUUCCCGGGCCUUGUACACACCG